rnacentral:rRNA from 1 species
AGGAGCAUGUGGUUUAAUUUCGAUGAUACGCGAGGAACCGUUACCUGGGCUCGAACGUAAGAUGACUGUAGGUGAAAGCUUACAUCUCUUCGGAGCAUUUUACGAGGUGCUGCAUGGUUGUCGUCAGCUCGUGCCGUGAGGUGUCGGGUUAAGUCCCAUAACGAGCGCAACCCCUACCUUUAGUUGCCAUCAGGUUAAGCUGGGGACUCUAAAGGAACUGCCUACGCAAGUAGUGAGGAAGGCGGGGAUGACGUCAAAUCAGCACGGCCCUUACGUCCAGGGCUACACACGUGCUACAAUGGCCGAUACGGAGGGCAGCUACCUGGUGACAGGAUGCAAAUCUCCAAAGUCGGUCUCAGUUCGGAUCGGAGUCUGCAACCCGACUCCGUGAAGUUGGAUUCGCUAGUAAUCGCGCAUCAGCCAUGGCGCGGUGAAUACGUUCCCGGGCCUU